UACGAAGGGGGCUAGCGUUGCUCGGAUUGACUGGGCGUAAAGGGCGCGUAGGCGGUUUGUACAGUCAGACGUGAAAUUCCUGGGCUCAACCUGGGGGCUGCGUUUGAUACGUGCAGACUUGAGUUCGGAAGAGGGUCGUGGAAUUCCCAGUGUAGAGGUGAAAUUCGUAGAUAUUGGGAAGAACACCGGUGGCGAAGGCGGCUCACUGGCUCGUUUCUGACGCUCAGGCGCGACAGCGUGGGGAUCAAACAGG
rnacentral:rRNA from 1 species